AAAACCGAUAGAAGUUUUACAACUUCACCAUUCUUUCACGACCCUCGGACAGAAGAUCAAAAUUAAUAAUGAAGGUUGCAGUUGCUCUUGUUUGUAUGACCGCUAUGGUCACCAUGACAUCCGCCCAAGGUAUGGGUGGCAUGGCUGGAAUGGGCGGAGCAGGUGGAAUGGCUGGAAUGGCUGGAAUGGCCGGGGCAGGUGGAUUGGCUGGAAUGGCUGGAAUGGGCGGCAGAAUGGGUGCAAUGAUGAGAUUGCUUCCCAUUUUACAAGGUGCCGGUGGUGGUGGACAAAUGAACCCUUUACUAUUGAUGUCCUUGUUGCAGCAACAAAAUGGCGGCGGUCAAGGUGGCGGAAACAAUUUAAUGAAAACGAUGAUGAUGAUGAAAAUGAUGAAAACAAUGGGUGAAAACGGCCCUUUGCUUAUGUUGGCCAUGAACCAACAAAAUGGAGGAGGUUCUAGUAUACCAAUGCCUUUGCUUAUGAUGAUGCUGUCUGGUAAUAGUGAGGGUAUGAGUGGCAUACUACCCCUUUUAUUAAUGCAACAGGGGAAUAAUGCCGCUGCCCCUGCCCCUGUCCCGGGUUCUGCUCUAGGUCCACCUCCCAUGGGCGCUGCUGCUCUCAACGCCCCUGCCCCUGUCGUAUAAAAGCUGGUGUAGUUAUGCCCCUUUGUUAAUCAGUUUGGUGAUAACACACUAUAUUGUUCAUUGUCCAUAAUGUUUUGUAGAAUUAAUAUCUUUCUGUACAUGAAUUUCUACAUCUCAAUGAUCUUACUGUAUGGAAAUGAAUAAUCUACGGCUCGUUAUCUUGUUAUGAAACCGAAAGAUGACGUCAAAUUAUAAUAUAUCUUUUGUUAGUUA